CUCACCUGCAUGCUCCCCUCCUGCAAGGGGUGAAGUGCAGAAGGUCUGAGGGAGUGGAAUUCGCCCCUGCCAGUGCUGAUGUGGCUGGCUAGUUCCGGUGCUCCUGCACCUCAGUUCCCACCCAUGAAAGGGUCAGGGAAAUAUCCUGCUUCACUAGGACUUAUAACAGCCAGCCGAAGUGAAGGCAGUAUGUGGGACUGAGCCCUUAACUUGUGGAGUGUUAUGCUAACUCCAGAAAACGUCCUAAUAAGAAGAUAAGGUGACCGAAUAAGGGGAUUACUUGGCAGAGAUAUGAGAGAACUGGGUUCUUGACCCCACUUUGCCAUGAACUUGGGCAGAGGAGCCUUUCCCUGUGGCCACCACUGCCUUCAGCCCAUAAGGGAGUUUUUCCAGGCUACCUCCGAUGAUCACUUAAAGCUCAACAGCUCUUCAUUCAGCUUGUGAGAUAGCCAGUCAUGGGACUGCUGGAUCAACUGGAGACAGAUCUAUACAACUACAAAUACCUGGAAUACGAAGGAAGAUUUACUUAGUGUGGUAAGUAAUUGACAUAGUUUUUAUCAAGCUCAGUGUUUUUUGUUUGUUUGUUUGCCAUGGCUGAGAAUGAAGAAUAAAAGCAGGCUUUGUGCUAUGCAAAAGGACACUGUACUCAA
rnacentral:lncRNA from 1 species